CCCUUGAUGGUCUAGUGGCUAGGAUUCAGCGCUCUCACCGCUGUGGCCCAUGUUCAAUUCUCGGUCAGGGAA